GAGAGAGAGAGAGUGGCGCGGAAAACGCGGGCUGCCUUCUGAUUGGUUAAUCAUGCUCGCGCGCACUACAGAUGGACGAGUGAUGCAGCAGCUGUCAGUGAGCCUACUAGCCGUUGAGAGUUACCAUGGCAACCGCGUACACAUCAGCUGCUGGAGAGGAGAGGACUUGUCUGACAUUUUCUCUGUUUGUCGUCAGUUAUACCAAAGAAAAGGCCAACAACUACAACAGAAUGGAGCUGGAGGCUGUGGAGAAACAGAUCCACGAUAUCGUGGAGAAGCAGGCUCAGCUGAGUGAGUGGAGAGCUGUGCUGGAAAUAUUCAGGGGUUGAUGCUCAUAAGUCCAGGUGUAAGACAUGAACCAGGCCCUGGGCGACGACCUCUCUCCAUCCGCCGCCUCCGGUCUUUAGGAUCUCCGGCAGAAACCGAUUCGCUCCACUUCGCGAGACAGAACACGACGCUGUGAUCAUCGGAGACUCCAUCGUCCGGCACGUUCGUGCUAUGUUGCUUUUUGUUAAUAAUUGGAAUAUUUUCUGGGAGCAUCCUAGGCUUUUUAGAUCUCCUGUUGGACAAAAUCUCCAAGACACUUUGCUCUAUAUGACUAGUAAGCCAAUUCUCAAAUAACUGUUAUGAUGACUUUUAUUCUUCCCACUUAAAUAGAAGUACUUGUGCUGUCAAAUCAAUAAAGACUAUGUCUGUUCCAGUGUUCAUUUUGGCAGGCAUUUUUGAUUUAGCAUUAGUCUUUACCUUGAGAUGAAAAUGCUUAAUAGUCUUAGUCACAUUUUAGUCAUUUGAG